rnacentral:rRNA from 1 species
UGGGGAAUUUUGCACAAUGGGGGAAACCCUGAUGCAGCGACGCCGCGUGAUUUAGAAGGCCUUCGGGUUGUAAAAAUCUUUUUUACGGGAUGAAAAUGACAGUACCGUAAGAAUAAGGUCCGGCUAAAUACGUGCCAGCAGCCGCGGUAAUACGUAUGGACCGAGCGUUGUCCGGAAUCAUUGGGCGUAAAGGGUACGUAGGCGGCCUAGUAAGUUAGAAGUGAAAUAAUAUAGCUCAACUAUAUAAAGCUUUUAAAACUGCUAGGCUUGAGAGAUGGAAGGGAAAGUGGAAUUCCUAGUGUAGCGGUGAAAUGCGCAGAUAUUAGGAGGAAUACCGGUGGCGAAGGCGACUUUCUGGUCAUCAUCUGACGCUGAGGUACGAAAGCGUGGGUAGCAAACAGG